GGGAAUCCGGUGCAAAUCCGGAACUGUCCCGCAACGGUGUACUUGUACGUGUUCGCACACCCGUGCUCAUGUACUCGCGUCAGUCCGAGGACC
rnacentral:ncRNA from 26 species